rnacentral:rRNA from 1 species
CCCUUAGAUGUUCUGGGCUGCACGCGCGCUACACUGUCGGAUUCAGCGAGUCAUAUCCUUAACCGAAAGGUUUGGGUAAUCUUUUGAAAGUCCGACGUGAUGGGGAUUGAUCAUUGCAAUUAUUGAUCAUGAACUAGGAAUUCCUAGUAAGCGCGAGUCAUCAGCUCGCGUUGAUUACGUCCCUGCCCUUUGUACACACCGCCCGUCGCUACUACCGAUUGAAUGGUUUAGUGAGAUCUUCGGAUUGGCGCCUACGCGGCUUCUCUGAGGCCACGCUGGAUGCCGAAAAGUUGCUCAAACUGUAUCAUUUAGAGGAAGUAAAAGUCGUAACA